rnacentral:rRNA from 1 species
UGGGGAAUAUUGCACAAUGGGCGCAAGCCUGAUGCAGCCAUGUCGCGUGUGUGAAGAAGGCCUUCGGGUUGUAAAGCACUUUCAGCGGGGAGGAAGGCGGUGAGGUUAAUAACCUCAUCGAUUGACGUUACCCGCAGAAGAAGCACCGGCUAACUCCGUGCCAGCAGCCGCGGUAAUACGGAGGGUGCAAGCGUUAAUCGGAAUUACUGGGCGUAAAGCGCACGCAGGCGGUCUGUCAAGUCGGAUGUGAAAUCCCCGGGCUCAACCUGGGAACUGCAUUCGAAACUGGCAGGCUAGAGUCUUGUAGAGGGGGGUAGAAUUCCAGGUGUAGUGGUGAAAUGCGUAGAGAUCUGGAGGAAUACCGGUGGCGAAGGCGGCCCCCUGGACAAAGACUGACGCUCAGGUGCGAAAGCGUGGGGAGCAAACAGG